rnacentral:ribozyme from 13 species
AUUCCAUGAGAAAAAACACUCAAAAUUUGAAGAAUCAAAAAAUACAAAAUUCCAACUUCUCUCAAUUUCAUUGUCUCUUUCUUUUCUCUCUUUCUCUUUCUCUCUUC